CUGUCCUAUGAUAUACAGUGUGUAUCACUCAGUGCUGCCCUAUGAUAUACAGGUGUAUCACUCAGUGCUGUCCUAUGUGAUACAGUGUGUGUAUCACUCAGUGCUGUCCUAUGCAUAUGCAGUGUCCUAUGAUAUACUCAGUGUGUAUCGCUCAGUGCUGUCUAUGAUAUACGGUGUAUCACUCAGUGCUAUCCUAUGAUAUACAGUGUAUCACUCAGUGCUGUCCUAUGAUAUACAGUGUGUAUCACUCAGUGCUGUUCUAUUAUAUACAGUGUGUAUCACUCAGUGCUGUCCUAUGAUAUACAGUGUAUCACUCAGUGCUGUCCUAUGAUAUACAGUGUGUAUCACUCAGUGCUGUCCUAUGAUAUACAGUGUGUAUCACUCAGUGCUCUCCUAUGAUAUACAGUGUGUGUAUCAGCCCUAUGAUAUAUGUAUCACUCAGUGCUGUCCUAUGAUAUACAGUGUGUAUCACUCAGUGCUGUCCUAUGAUAUACAGUGUGUGUCACUCAGUGCUGUCCUAUGAUAUACAGUGUAUCACUCAGUGCUGUCCUAUGAUAUACAGUGUGUAUCACUCAGUGCUGUCCUAUGAUAUACAGUGUAUCACUCAGUGCUGUCCUAUGAUAUACAGUGUGUAUCACUCAGUGCUGUCCUAUGAUAUACAGUGUGUAUCACUCAGUGCUGUCCUAUGAUAUACAGUGUGUAUCACUCAGUGCUGUCCUAUGAUAUACAGUGUGUAUCACUCAGUGCUGUCCUAUGAUAUACAGUGUGUAUCACUCAGUGCUGUCCUAUGAUAUACAGUGUGUGUCACUCAGUGCUGUCCUAUGAUAUACAGUGUGUAUCACUCAGUGCUGUCCUAUGAUAUACAGUGUGUAUCACUCAGUGCUGUCCUAUGAUAUACAGCGUGUGUCACUCAGUGCUGUCCUAUGAUAUACAGUGUGUAUCACUCAGUGUUGUCCUAUGAUAUACAGUGUGUAUCACUCAGUGCUGUCCUAUGAUAUACAGCGUGUGUAUCACUCAGUGCUGUCCUAUGAUAUACAGCGUGUGUAUCACUCAGUGCUGUCCUAUGAUAUACAGCGUGUGUAUCACUCAGUGCUGUCCUAUGAUAUACAGUGUGUAUCACUCAGUGCUGUCCUAUGGUAUACAGUGUAUCACUCAGUACUGUCCCAUGAUAUACAGCGUGUAUCAGUCAGUGCUGUCCCUGCUUAUCAUGCAAUUUAUUUCAUGUGUGAGAGGCUAUUACUGGGCAGAUGGGGAGUGAUCACAUCCUCUUCCUGUCCAUCCUCACACACAGACACUGAGUUUUACAGCUUCUAUAAUGGGUUCUGCAGAUUAGCUAUUAAAUCUGCCCGGACUACAGUGGACACUGGCCAAGGCUCCUGGUACUUAUCUCUCAAACAGACCAAUUAAAC